rnacentral:piRNA from 1 species
AGGCCACACCUCUUAAUAGUGCUACUUCCC